AAAUGCUGCAGGUUCUUUGGAGUUGUAAUAAGUCACAUUUUGAAGGCCAUUUGUGUUGGUCUGCUGUGGAUUGUCUCUGUACUUAUUGAUGGAGACUGGUAUGUUUGCUGUAACGUGGGUCAGUCUGAACAACAAGCAAAGAUAGCCUGCAGUGACAGAACUAACAUCACAAGUGAGGAAAAAGAAAUCAUCACUGAAGAGAAAAAUGUUUCCAGGAGAUACGGCUUUGGUCUGCUCUUUUUCAUCAUUCUUUUGGUGGCCCUCAAGUCAUUGUGCUGUUGGAGGAAAUGCUUCAACUGCUGGGACAGCAGAAGAACUUUUUUUGACCUGGUGAUCUUGACAGAGGAGGGGAACGUUUGGAAAGAGAUUCUGAAGGAAGCAGGAAAAGAGGAGUUGACUAGAAAAAUCUAUAACAAAAUAGCUGAAAAUCAGUGCGAUGAAUAUGAUGUUGCUGCAGAAAUGAUUAAGAAUUCUGAAAAACCAAAACUUUCUAAAAAACAACAAAAAGAAUUGAGAGAACUACAGCAGGAACAACAGCAACUGUAUAUGUAUUCUUGAUAGUUGUGCUGUUCAACUUUUAACUUCUCUUCUUUCUUCCUCUGUGUGGCCCUUUUAGGAUUUUUUUUAGUGUACUUUGAAUUUUCUUUGAUAAAAUAUAUAAAUAUGGAGAUAAUGUCUUGGCGUUGGUGCAGAAAUGUAAAUUACUUUGACUUUGUAAGCUGAGUAUAAAAUCUUGCAGACCUUUAACUGAAACCUGUUGUACAUGCUGUUGAUUCAGUUAUGGUUUAUUUUGUUCCCGCUUUAUUUUUACUCUGAGCAAGGUGAAUGUAAUUUAUGUCACAAACAGUAGUAAUAAGUUCUUUAGUUGCACAUAAAUCUGAGUUUAAUCAUUUACAUCGACCUUGUUUUUAUUUCUUUGCCAUUCUGUACAAAUUUUGUUGUCAGCCCUAAAAUAAAAUACAAUUUCAUUAAAAUAUUUUUUGUAAUCUUUGAGGUUUAACCACUACAAACAAAAGUGCUUAGAAAUCCUGAUGUACCAUAUCAGGUACUAUAAAGCACAUUUAAUCAUGUCUUUUGUGCAUUUCAAAUUAGGACUGUUACGACAGAUCGUAAUCAUGUGUGAAUUUGAGUGUCCAGGUGCUCCUCCGGGAUUGGUGCAUCCAGGGUGGAUGGCUCACACCGAUUGGCUGAGGACUGGGAGGCAGCGGAUAAGAAGAGACCGCCUGGGACUGCCAAUUCAUUCAUCCUCGGCUCAACCCAACCGGCAGACCGUUCACUGUGUCAAAAUAUUAUGUUAAUGUAAGAGCAUGUAGGGGUGGACCGCCUUUUUGUUUGAUCAGUUUUCUCCUGUUUUUGUUAGGCAGGGAGGGAAGUGAUUGUCGUUUGGUUUAGUUCUUUUGAGCAGGUAAGUUGUGUUUAUUCCUGAGAUAGGUUACUUUUUGUUUGUUGUUUUGGCCUUGGGUUCACCCUGAAGUUAUGAUAUGCUCCCUUCCUUUGUUUAACUGCACUUAUUGUAAAUAAAUCAGUCACAAAA
ensembl:lncRNA